AGCGUGUUGACAGUUUCUGUCUUGGAUAACUGUGGUAAUUCUAGAGCUAAUACAUGCAACAAAGUUUUAACCANUGAUGGGACAAACGCUUUUAUUAAAUCAAAAUCAAUCCGGCUGGUUUUACCGGUCCGUUGACUUUGGUGACUCUGAAUAACCACGUAGAUCGCAUGGUCCUUGUACCGGCCGACUUAUCUUUCAAAUGCCUGACUUAUCAACUGUCGAUGGUACACUCUGUGUCUACCA
rnacentral:rRNA from 1 species